rnacentral:misc_RNA from 1 species
UAGAUUUCAGGGUGGAGGCCGUCACCCUGCCUAGCGCCUCUACUAACCUCGGACUCGGCGUGACGGCGGCAACCGGUCGCGGAGCCGCCCCCCUCGCCCCCUCGCUGCCCGUCGCCCCCCUCGACGCCGCCGCCGCCGCCAGGGAAGAGCCCCGCUGCCGCCGCCGCCCCUACCUCGACGACCGCUCACUGCCAGGACCGCCAUCGUCCAGCCCGACCCGAGACCAGGACCGAAAUCACACCGGGACAGCCGUCGCCCGCCCCCGCACACAUGUCGCAGCUGCACUCCCCGCGCCUCGCCAAUCCUUAGGUCUUGUUUGCCGCCAUCGUGCCGCCCUCGCGUGCUCCCGGCAUGGCCCAGCUGGAAAUACCGUCCAUAGUGGUUCACAACGGAUCAAGCAGCACGCCGGGCAGCCCCAGCAUGGAGCGCCCCUCCAGAUCACUGCGCCAGCACCGUACCCUCUCAAAGCAGAUUUCCCUCCUGGACGACGACUGCGAUGAAGGCUUGGAUGACAGCAGGGACUUGCUGCCUGAGAGUCCAACCUCACACGGUGCCAACCACACCCUCUCGGCCAACACUGCUGGUCUUGAUGAAGUGUCUCCGCCGCUACCUACAACCAACUUCACUCAUCACCACAGUGGCCUGCCCCAUGGCCCUGGACCAGGAGGAGGAGGAGGAGGUGGAGGAGGAGGUGGUGGUGGCAGUAGUGGUGGUGGAGGUGCUAGUGCUGGGGGUGGAGGAGGAGGAGGAGGAGGAGGAAGCAAUAGUAUUGGAGGAGGAGGAGGAAGGAGAAAAGAAGAAGAGGAAGAAGGAGAGGAAGGGGUGGGAAGAGGAACAGUGGGGGACAGUGGAGGAAGUGGUGGGAACAAUGGCUGCAGCAGAAAUAGUGCCUCCAAUAGUCAGUCAGGUCUCAGUGCACCCAAUCAAUGUGGUUCAGUUCUUGGUAAUUCUGGCCAAACACGCUCUAAAUCUCUGGAAUUAAAUCAGCAACGCUCAACCGAAUCUGAUAAAGACGCGCCUCUAGUCACGUCUGCAAGACACAGGCAUCAUGGAGGGAAGCUAAAACUCUUGCAACGAAGCCAUGCCAUGCGCGAAGACACAUCACCGCCACCAGAGAUUCUGGAGCCAGCACCCCCCUCACCCCACUGUAACAGCCACUCGAGCAGUGGGGGUAGCAAUACCCUCACUGUGACCUCAGGUGGUGGCAACAGGAGGCGACUGAAGCAUCAGGGUUCCUCACAGGGGUCCUUUGAUGGGUCCUCGCCCUGUUUGUCGCGAGAUUCAUCAAUGGAGUAUACAGACAGCAGUGGUGUUGACUUGCAGCAGUUCAUCAUCCAGACACUUCACAAGAACCAAAAGGACCGUAUGAUGCUCCUAAAAAUUGAGCAUGAGCUGGUCAAUCUCGUGAAGGACACCAAGCGAACGCACCACAAGUUUCCUCCAAUGUCAUCAUACCAACGAAUGCUUGUUCACCGGUGUGCUGCAUUUUUUGGACUCGAGCAUAAUGUAGACCAAGCUGGAACUGCUGUCAUAGUCAACAAAACGCGGAACACACGCCUUCCUGAGACGCGGUUCAGAGACCACUGCCGUGAUGAUCUCUUAGUGCCAGACGAACCUAAGAGGUCCAUACUUAAAAGAGACUCAUCAUCCUUUGAUGAUGGGUCUAAUUAUAAGUCCCUAGAUAGACAGUACAGCUCAGAGUCCAGGCGGAGCAAGAGCUUCGAGGAACGAGAAGAGGAGUACGAAAAAGUAAGGAAGCGAAUAUUCAGUCAGGAGUCUUUGUCAUCAGCUGAUGGUCUAGGAGACUCACCUGUCAGAGGUCAUGAUUCAAGAAGAAACUCCCAAGAUGACUCACGGUGGCAUGACUCACGACACUGGAAUUUUAUAGACUCAGAGAUCUCACAUCGAAAACAUCAUUAUGACAAUCAUAGAUUAAGGCCAGGCAGAUUACCAAAGGUGGAGUCAUUCGAGAGCAGAGAUACACUCCAUCCAAGAUCACUAAGACCACCUGUCUUUAAGUCACACAGCUUUGGGGGAUAUAGUGGUGGUGUUACUGUUUUAUCUAGAGGAGAAUCGGUUUCGAGUAAUAUAUCUUCUUCUAGAUUAAGUAAACAGGACUCAACCAGUAGCCGUUUAAGUGACCAGAGCAGCAGUUCCGGGUAUAAAACACAAAGGCAAGACACCAGUUCCACCAAUGUGUCGAACACCCUCUCCACCACGCCUUCCCCAACUACUAGUCAGCAUCAGCACACUUCCAGUGGUCAGAAUGCGGGUAUGUGGGGAGGUGAAGGUGAUGGUCAGGCAGUAAUGUGGGCAGUAACAGAUAUGGAAGCUGUGCCAGCUGGUGCAAUGCUUAUAAACCCACAGAGUGGACAACCAUACAUGAACUCUGAUGGAUCUGUCUAUCGAUUUGAUCCAAACAAUCCGCCACAAAUCAGUCCCAGUGUGAUUGCCAGCACUACAGCAAGCGGAAGCACUAGAGAAAAGGAGCCAACAGUAGAAAAGGAAGCAACAGGUUGUUUAGGAGGAAGUUUAGGAGUAACGCAACCAUCAGCCGUCUCCCCUGCUUCCUCCCAUGACCUCCCUCCUUCAACGUCGUCAAGCGUUUGUAGUCCACCAAGUAAACAGCCAAGUCAUCAGCAGAGCUCACCAGAACCUCCUCCACACAGUGCGGUCACUUGUGUAACAUCUACAAGUGAAGUAAGAGAGUCAGAAACUAACAGUGAUACAAGUAAUGGAAAUACGGGUGAAGUCAUCCAGCAACCUCCUCAGAUGAUCUAUCCACAGUAUUAUCAACAUUCACAGCUAGAUGCAAGAACAUUCUCACAGGAGGGUGGCGUGAAUGAAGUGACCAGUAACCUCCGAGCCCUGUGUUUAAGUGGUCCAAACAAUGGGGGAGAGAGCAACAGUGACAUCACAACAAUUCAGAUGUCUGCGGCUCCAGUCCAUCAGAGUUAUGUUGUUCCUCGACAGUACUCGCAGCCUGUGUACUACAUGCCAGCAGGAAGUAUGGGGAACAUGAGUGGAUCCCUAAAGUAUGUGUACCCCCAGUACCAGAUGGCUCCAGUACAGGCAACUCCAACUGGAGUACAGGCAACGACAGGAGUACAGUCAGCGAAUAUACAGCAGGUUCAAGCUAUUCCUGCUGUCCCAGCUGUGCCAGCUGUGCCAGGGGGUAUUAGUGCAGCACCAGCACCCCCAGCUGGGCACCAUGCUACAUUGGAGCACAACCAUGUCAUACCUCCAGGUGGAGGAUAUGUCCCAGGAGGCUACACAGUUGUCACUUACCCAGCAGGAGGUAGUGUUGGAACUGGCGCCAACGGACAGGAGACAGGAGGCACGACGUACUACUACCAGCUCCCUGCAGCCGCUGCAGCUGGCCUCAGUGGCCCCAUCCCAGCUGCACAGCCAGUUCCAACAAGUCUACAGCAAUAUACUCUAACGCCAACUACUUCUAACUCGUAUCCACAAUUUGUUACAUAUGAAGGCUUUUACAUAAGCCAAAGCUGUCUGGAGACUCAGCUGAAACAUUGAUACCAAACAAUCAAACAGCACAUUAAAUGGACUACAGACAUUGAAAAAGAUUUUUUCUUUUGCUUUUGUUUUGGUUACCUGAUGACUUGCUUGGGUGUGCAAAGUGGAUGACUCCUAGACACCAACAGUCAGGAAGAGAGAGUGGGAAGAGCACCAUGUAACUUGUCCCGUAGCAUGGAAUGAACCUUGGACUUUGCCGUCAUUUGUGUGAAUACUGCUGAUCGGAUGGUGUGUUUUUUUUUUUUUUUUUUUUUCUUUAGAUCAAGAUGGAUUGGUAACUUCGGUGAUUUGAACUCAAACACUGAGAAUAACUGAUAGAUUAGCUUCAUCUAUGUUUUCAUGAUAAAAGAGAAAAAAAUGACAAUUUGCUAAUCGGAUAAUGUUGACCUCAGGAACUAGAAAACUAACACUGCUUACAUGGAAAACAAAGGAAAUGUGUAAAAAUUGGAAACUGAAUAAUCAUACAACUUUAUUGUCAGAUUUAAGGAUUUCUCUCUCCACAGUUCAAGUUUAGGCCAAACUUUCAUUAUGAGAAAGUAGAGAAAAAUUGGAUUUCAUUCAUUCAGAAAUAAAAUGAACAAGCACUAGAUAUUGACGUGACAGCUACAGUGUAAUGAAGUCUGGCAUGGAAAAUUUUAAUAUGUCGCCCACUUUAUGUCUAAUGUGAUAACCGUAAUGGAAAUGGAAAUUAUUUGCCUUAUUCAUAAUGUCCAUCAGAGAGGAACAGAGUUAUAAAUCAGUUUGAUAAAUGUUUGAAAAGUAGGAAUGAGAGCGAGUCAUUUUACAAUACAAAUAUGUGAUAACUGUUUUGAAAUCACAUCUUCAAGCAAACUUGCUAAGAAAUAUUAUCCCCACGGCUGAGGUUAGAUUGGAGGCCAGGAGCUAAUUUCAGGAGUUUUUAAAAUAGAUGUUUGUUAAUUUAUUGUUUCUACUAGUAUUGUUUACCUGUUGAUGUAAACAAAUUACUGUACUGUUCUUUUACAUUUUGACUCCUUUUUAUGUUGUUUACUACAUGUCCAUUUCUCCAAACGUGUGACACGGCAUCUAAAUUAUUUAUCCUUGUUCCCCUUCUGUUUCUGUUAUGAAGGUAAACAUUUUGGAUUAAAGAUUAAAUUUUA